UACGAAGGGGGCUAGCGUUGCUCGGAAUUACUGGGCGUAAAGGGCGCGUAGGCGGGCGUUUAAGUCAGAGGUUAAAUCCCAGAGCUCAACUCUGGAACUGCCUUUGAUACUGGACACCUAGAGUACGGGAGAGGUGUGUGGAACUCCGAGUGUAGAGGUGAAAUUCGUAGAUAUUCGGAAGAACACCAGUGGCGAAGGCGACACACUGGCCCGUAACUGACGCUGAGGCGCGAAAGCGUGGGGAGCAAACAGG
rnacentral:rRNA from 1 species